GCACGCGUCAUGGGCACAGCGGGCACAACCGCACAAACCCUACCCCCAAUCCAUAGCCGCCACUCCCUCCCUCCUUCUCCUUCCUCCCUCGUCUGCCGCCGCCACUCCCUCCCUCCUCGUCGCCCUGCCUCCGCCCUAGGAGCUUCGUCGCCUCCCGCGCGCUCGUCCUCUCAUCUCCCAUGGAGGGGAGGGGUGGGGAUGUAGGGGAAGGAGGAAGCCGGAGAUGCUGCUGCUGCUGACGUCCAUGGAGAUGCUGUUGAUGCGGAUCGAGAAAGCAAAGAAAUUAGGGGGAGGAUGUGAGAGAGAAGGAAGGAGAGGAGAGGUCAGGGAGAGCCCCGGUGUUCUACCCCUACUAGGGCAUCUUUGCUCCAGGGAGAAAGGAGGGGACCAGCGGCACAGGGAGGAGAGGAGGCCGUCGAGGCAAGUGGGGAGGGGGCAGCGGCGUGGGAGAGGAUGGAGCGGGGAGGACAUGAGGCGAAGGGGGAGCGGGGCUCGGGAGCACAUGCCGGCGGCCGGCAGGUCGAAUCGUCGCGCCACCGCGUAGUCGCCUCCUCUGCGCCAUGAGGCACCACCUCUGCCUCCACCCUCCACUAGGCAAGGAGCUCGAGGUGAACAGGCAGUGGGAAGGUGAGAGGAAGCAGGAGCUCAUCUCUCCUCCAAUGGCUGCCUCGUGCAUCUGGAGUAUAAGGAGGACAACACGUGCCUGUUGGAGGCGACUCGAGCAACGCAGGCCAGCGGCGAACUAGAUCUGACAUAGAAGACCACGUUCGUCAGAUUCGAAAGUGACCAUCUUCCAAUGGCUCUAAUGGAUGUGCACUCUUGUCUCCGUUGUUAUACCUAUUUUGGAAUCCAUGGCAACAUGUUGUGCUUUGUCGGCACAUUCGUGCAUGUGUGAGGUCGCAGAUGAAGAAGCACAGAAUGAUCAUUAUAUUCUCCUCUGCUCUGAUCUUCUAUUGACAUAUGUAAGAUGUACCUUAUUUCCUGGUAUUUCCUGAGAUUCUGAACUGAUUGUAUGACAGUGAUUAUUAUGUAAAAGUGUUUUCAGUUGUUGUUUAGUAUGGAUGCCUCCAUGGUUGCAUAGGCAUCCAUGGUUCUGUGAGGAGGUUAUCUAUGUCAUUCUGUUUUAUAUAGAUGUCUAAUUAGCUGGUUAUUUGAACAUGAAAAGGAGUACGACUCGGCAGUAAAGUCAACCGUGGGGAGGUGCAACAUGGCGUGGCCUCAACAGCCAAUUAGGUAUUGGAAGUUUUGGGUUCCACGGAAUUAUUGGUGCUUAUCUACAAAGUUUAUUAUGCUUAUCAUUCUAGAUUUUCUGAUUCUCAGUUGAACAGUACCGUUGAUAAAGCUACACGGUGGAUGCUAUUCAUUAUAUAAGGUUUGCUAUCAACUCUCAAAAAAGGAAAAACAACUUUACUCUGUUUUUUGGAUAACCUUCCUGUAGAGUACCUCGACAGAGACAAAUAUGCGAUCACGGAUAUAUUCGAUUGAUUUUCACGCAAAACUUGGAGGAUAUUUUUGCAGGUUUAUGUGAUUGGCGGGGAUGGAACAAUGAGAGGAGCAGUGGUGAUAUUCGAAGAGUUUAAACGGUGUCGUUUGAGGAUAUCCAUUACAGGGAUCCCAAAAAACUUGGACAAUGACAUCGAAAUCAUAGACAAGGCGUUUGGGUUUCAGACUGCAGUGGAGAGUGCUCAGUAGGCAAUCGAUGCGACACAUGUGGGGUUGUGAAUAUUGUGGAUGGCAUUGGUCUUGUCAAACUUAUGGGAAGGAGCAUGGGACACAUUACUCUUCAUGCCACCCUGAGCAGCCUAAGAUGUUGACUGUUGUUUGAAUCCUAAGAUCGAUUUCCAUGUUGAAGGGAAGGGGCAUGUUGUCGUUGUUGUUGCUCAAGGCGCUGGUCAGGAGUUGAUUCCCCAGAUUGAUGACCAGAAGCGAGAGCAGGAUGAGUAUGGCAACAUGUUGUUCCUUAGCGUUGGCCUUCUUCUAUAAAGUUUACAUACAAUUCACCUGCAUGGUUAAAAAAGCUACUAUACUAAUGUAAAUGUUCUGUUUCUUUGAAGAUUACUCAUUUCUCUUACCAUUGUUGUAUCAAAACAAUUGUGUUUUGGCCGCUUGCGCUCAUUUUAUAGGAGAUUGAGAUGUGGGACAAGCUACUACCAAAUGUUUGGUUCCCAUCAAACCGUUUAUUUGCCAAUAAAAUAAAGGUUCCUUUUUUUAAAACACAUGAAAGGACAACACUGCAUAAGGGAGUUUGCCCUUUGUAAAGGUUAUUGUUUGCUG
rnacentral:rRNA from 1 species